rnacentral:rRNA from 1 species
AGGACGAACGCUGGCGGCGUGCUUAACACAUGCAAGUCGAGCGGAAAGGCCACUUCGGUGGUACUCGAGCGGCGAACGGGUGAGUAACACGUGAGUAAUCUGACCCCUGGCUUUGGGAUA